UUUGUGAUUUGAUUAACUUGUUGUGGUUAUAGUAGUCAUGAAUAUGAGUUAUUCUAAUUUGGUUAUAGUACUUCUGAGGUAACCAUGCAUUUUUUCCUGCCAACUUGUUGAUCACCUAACCUAUUCAGAAAAUGAAAGCCAGAGGUUAAUUGCACAAGACACUCUAAAGUUAAGCCAUAAUUAGUUUAUAAGAUUGAUAGAUAUAUAUACAUUAAACUUUCGUGUUUCAUAUCUGAAGUGAACAUAGUACAAUAUGUGUGGAUAUAUAUUAUUGAGUCUCUGAUAUCCGUUACUAAAUAAAUAUUCAUUGUAUUAUGAGGGACUAUUCACCUUCUUAAUUAGUGAAAACAAAGUUAGUUCAUUAAAUAGAGUUAUAUUAUAACUAAAUUUGAAAAAUAGUUUCAUUGGUUGCAGGGAAUAAACCCGUCGCCUAUGUUUGAGUGUCAAAAAAGGUGGUUAGAAUUAUUAUUGGGUUUACGUGCAGAUCCUAUCAAGUAUUGCACUUGCAAAAUUCAAGAUUAUAAGGCACCUCAUUGUGAACAGGAUGAGGAUGUAAACCUUGAUGACGUUGAUGCUGAAUGUAUUCAGCAACAAUCAGAUAUUCAUAAUAGUAUUGUCAUGAAGCUGGUUAAGAAAGUUGCCCAUAGAGGAUCUACAGCUCCAGAUAGUAUUGCGAAAAGAUUUGAUCAAAAAAGUUAUACUUAUGUUUCAAUGUAAUAUAGGAUGAUGAUGUUCGAUACUAAUGGAUGUAGGAUGAUGAUGUUUGAUACUAAUGUAUAAAUUUUUAUUAUU